rnacentral:lncRNA from 1 species
UGGGCUGUCAAAAAAUUAAUUGAUUUCCAAAUGAUUUGAAAUGUUUUUACUGAGUAAAUGGUACACCGAGUCUCCCGUGCUGAUCCUAUAAGUAUUCUGAACUGUGAUUUGUUUUAAACUGAAAAUUUAAUGGAUAGUGUACAGGCCCAAUUCCACCCCGGCCUUAAACACAAAAAAAUAAACAAUUAAAAUUCCCCAGCCCAAACUAAGCCUACCCAUUACAAACCCUAUCGAAUAACAGACCCAAAAAUAAGCCCAAACUAACCCACAGCCCAAAAUCUAAAAACCCAAUACCCAUUUUCAGAAAAAAAAAACAAAAGAAAACCCCAG